GACGGCCUUGCCACUGUAAACCGGUAGAGGGGUAGAUCUGGCCACCGGCCCAAUGCAGCCAUGCUGGUACAGAGGCUUUUCUGCCAAGGGGACAGGAGGGCCAGGGGAUGAGGACAAAAUGCCCCAGUGAGACUCUUAAACAGGACUGUCCAGCUGUUACUAAGUCAAUACCAGCAUACACCACACAGGUCCGUGCAUCUGUCUGAGGACAGAGGGAGUGCGAGUCUGUAAAUGUA
rnacentral:lncRNA from 8 species